CAGGUCAAGGAGACGAAAGGAAAUGUGCCCGAGCAUUUCCGCUGCCACCGUGGAAAUCGUCUUACAGGACGGGGUGCACGUACCUAUGCCGAGAGUGGCCAUUCCGGUAUGAAAACGAGCCCGAUGGAAUUCAUUGUGGGGCCUUGGCAGGCUUUAUUAAAACACAUGUCUGCCGUGGCGGAAAAUGCGUGAAGGCUGAAUACGUUCAAACCACGGCUGCUGUUGAAGAAUACUUCCGCACUAGGCCUUCGACCAGCACUGAGGCACCCCAAGAAACCGAGUUACCCCAAGAAAGCGAGGUACGCCAAGACACCGAGGCGCCCCGAGACACCGAGGAGCCGCAAGAAACCGAGGCACCCCAAGAAACCGAGGUGCCGCACAUCACUGAGAAGGUUACCGUUAUUCAUAGUGACACUACCACCAACGAGCCCACUGAAGAUCUGCAGUUCUCAGAGUGGUCUACGUCUCAAA